rnacentral:rRNA from 1 species
GAUGAACGCUAGCGACAGGCUUAACACAUGCAAGUCGAGGGGCAGCAUAAAAGCAGCAAUACUUUGGUGGCGACCGGCGCACGGGUGAGUAACGCGUAUGCAACCUACCUAUCAGAGGGGGAUAACCCGGCGAAAGUCGGACUAAUACCGCAUAAAACAGGGGCACCGCAUGGUGAUAUUUGUUAAAAAUUUAUUGCUGAUAGAUGGGCAUGCGUUCCAUUAGGUAGUUGGAGAGGUAACGGCUCACCAAGCCCACGAUGGAUAGGGGAACUGAGAGGUUGGUCCCCCACACUGGUACUGAGACACGGACCAGACUCCUACGGGAGGCAGCAGUGAGGAAUAUUGGUCAAUGGGCGAGAGCCUGAACCAGCCAAGUCGCGUGAAGGAAGAAGGAUCUAUGGUUCGUAAACUUCUUUUGCAGGGGAAUAAAGUGCAGGACGUGUCCUGUUUUGUAUGUACCCUGAGAAUAAGGAUCGGCUAACUCCGUGCCAGCAGCCGCGGUAAA